CCUACGGGUGGCAGCAGUGAGGAAUAUUGGUCAAUGGCCGUAAGACUGAACCAGCCAAGCAGCGUGAAGGACGACGGUCCCAAGCAUUGUAAACUUCUUUUGUCAAGGGACAAAAUCAGGCUCGUGAGCCUUACCGUAGGUACUUCAUGAAUAAGCAUCGGCUAACUCCGUGCCAGCAGCCGCGGUAAUACGGAGGGUACGGGCGUUAUCCGGAUUUAUUGGGUUUAAAGGGUGCGUAGGCCGGGUGUUAAGUGUGCCGUGAAAUGCCGGGGCUCAACCCCGGCAGGGCGGCGGAAACUGGCGGUCUGGAGAGCGCGGGAGGUAUGCGGAAGGCGUGGUGUAGCGGUGAAAUGCUUAGAUAUCGCGCAGAACUCCGAUUGCGAAGGCAGCAUACGGGAGGGGAUCUGACGCUGAGGCACGAAAGCGCGGGUAUCGAACAGGAUUAGAUACCCGAGUAGUC
rnacentral:rRNA from 1 species